UGGUCAUUACCAAGGCUUUUAGAAUGCAGUUUCUGAUUUGCUGUGGAGUUAACUCCCCACUGGGCUUUCUUUUUGCUACCUUGCUAGCAUUCAGCCUGUUGGGAACAUUC
rnacentral:snoRNA from 1 species